UACGAAGGGGGCUAGCGUUGCUCGGAAUCACUGGGCGUAAAGGGUGCGUAGGUGGCGCCGUAAGUCGGGUGUGAAAUCUCGGAGCUUAACUCCGAAACUGCAUUCGAUACUGCCGUGCUUGAGGACUGGAGAGGAGACUGGAAUUUACGGUGUAGCGGUGAAAUGCGUAGAUAUCGUAAGGAAGACCAGUGGCGAAGGCGGGUCUCUGGACAGUUCCUGACGCUGAGGCACGAAGGUCAGGGGAGCAAACGGG
rnacentral:rRNA from 1 species